rnacentral:lncRNA from 10 species
GUAAUUCUGACUGUAUUGCUGUGUGACAUUGGGACAAUUGCUCUGAAUGGCUGCUUUCUUACCAGUAAAAUGGAGCAGUAGUUCAGCAUUUCCUCCCUCAUGUGGCUUUCAUGGGACCAAAUGAGUUUAUGAGCCUGAAAGUGUUUUGUGAAUAGGAAGGUCCUGCACCAGUAUACAUUCUAGCUGGCUAAAACUAUUAGGUUUUCAUUAUGGCUCAGAGACAAGCCAGUAGUACCACCCUGAGAAAAUUAAGGCCAGAAACUUAGCCACAGCUACACACAAUUACAUAACUCUGGUCUGACUCCAGCUCCAAAGCUUAAGGGGGUUAGUUGGGGGAAGCCCUAAGUGGGA